UCAGAGACCUAGUGACAUACUGAGAGCAGU
rnacentral:piRNA from 1 species